rnacentral:rRNA from 1 species
AGCGUACACGGUGGAUGCCUGGGCAGUCAGAGGCGAUGAAGGACGUACUAACUUGCGAUAAGCGCAGAUAAGGCAGUAAGAGCCGUUUGAGUCUGCGAUUUCCGAAUGGGGAAACCCAACUGCAUAAGCAGUUACUGUUAACUGAAUACAUAGGUUAACAGAGCAAACCGGGGGAACUGAAACAUCUAAGUACCCCGAGGAGAAGAAAUCAACCGAGAUUCCGGUAGUAGCGGCGAGCGAACCUGGAUUAGCCCUUAAGCACUCGGUGAAGUAGGUGAACAAGCUGGAAAGCUUGGCGAUACAGGGUGAUAGCCCCGUAACCGACGCUUCAUCGAGCGUGAAAUCGAGUAGGGCGGGACACGUGAUAUCCUGUCUGAAUAUGGGGGGACCAUCCUCCAAGGCUAAAUACUCCUGACUGACCGAUAGUGAACCAGUACCGUGAGGGAAAGGCGAAAAGAACCCCGGCGAGGGGAGUGAAAAAGAACCUGAAACCGUGUACGUACAAGCAGUGGGAGCACGCUUAGGCGUGUGACUGCGUACCUUUUGUAUAAUGGGUCAGCGACUUAUAUUCUGUAGCAAGGUUAACCGAAUAGGGGAGCCGAAGGGAAACCGAGUCUUAACUGGGCGUUAAGUUGCAGGGUAUAGACCCGAAACCCGGUGAUCUAGCCAUGGGCAGGUUGAAGGUUGGGUAACACUAACUGGAGGACCGAACCGACUAAUGUUGAAAAAUUAGCGGAUGACUUGUGGCUGGGGGUGAAAGGCCAAUCAAACCGGGAGAUAGCUGGUUCUCCCCGAAAGCUAUUUAGGUAGCGCCUCGUGAAUUCAUCUCCGGGGGUAGAGCACUGUUUCGGCAAGGGGGUCAUCCCGACUUACCAACCCGAUGCAAACUGCGAAUACCGGAGAAUGUUAUCACGGGAGACACACGGCGGGUGCUAACGUCCGUCGUGAAGAGGGAAACAACCCAGACCGCCAGCUAAGGUCCCAAAGUCAUGGUUAAGUGGGAAACGAUGUGGGAAGGCCCAGACAGCCAGGAUGUUGGCUUAGAAGCAGCCAUCAUUUAAAGAAAGCGUAAUAGCUCACUGGUCGAGUCGGCCUGCGCGGAAGAUGUAACGGGGCUAAACCAUGCACCGAAGCUGCGGCAGCGACGCUUAUGCGUUGUUGGGUAGGGGAGCGUUCUGUAAGCCUGUGAAGGUGUGCUGUGAGGCAUGCUGGAGGUAUCAGAAGUGCGAAUGCUGACAUAAGUAACGAUAAAGCGGGUGAAAAGCCCGCUCGCCGGAAGACCAAGGGUUCCUGUCCAACGUUAAUCGGGGCAGGGUGAGUCGACCCCUAAGGCGAGGCCGAAAGGCGUAGUCGAUGGGAAACAGGUUAAUAUUCCUGUACUUGGUGUUACUGCGAAGGGGGGACGGAGAAGGCUAUGUUGGCCGGGCGACGGUUGUCCCGGUUUAAGCGUGUAGGCUGGUUUUCCAGGCAAAUCCGGAAAAUCAAGGCUGAGGCGUGAUGACGAGGCACUACGGUGCUGAAGCAACAAAUGCCCUGCUUCCAGGAAAAGCCUCUAAGCAUCAGGUAACAUCAAAUCGUACCCCAAACCGACACAGGUGGUCAGGUAGAGAAUACCAAGGCGCUUGAGAGAACUCGGGUGAAGGAACUAGGCAAAAUGGUGCCGUAACUUCGGGAGAAGGCACGCUGAUAUGUAGGUGAAGUCCCUCGCGGAUGGAGCUGAAAUCAGUCGAAGAUACCAGCUGGCUGCAACUGUUUAUUAAAAACACAGCACUGUGCAAACACGAAAGUGGACGUAUACGGUGUGACGCCUGCCCGGUGCCGGAAGGUUAAUUGAUGGGGUUAGCGCAAGCGAAGCUCUUGAUCGAAGCCCCGGUAAACGGCGGCCGUAACUAUAACGGUCCUAAGGUAGCGAAAUUCCUUGUCGGGUAAGUUCCGACCUGCACGAAUGGCGUAAUGAUGGCCACGCUGUCUCCACCCGAGACUCAGUGAAAUUGAAAUCGCUGUGAAGAUGCAGUGUACCCGCGGCUAGACGGAAAGACCCCGUGAACCUUUACUACAGCUUGGCACUGAACAUUGAACCUACAUGUGUAGGAUAGGUGGGAGGCUAUGAAGACGUGACGCCAGUUGCGUUGGAGCCGUCCUUGAAAUACCACCCUUGUAUGUUUGAUGUUCUAACUUAGACCCAUUAUCUGGGUUGAGGACAGUGCCUGGUGGGUAGUUUGACUGGGGCGGUCUCCUCCCAAAGAGUAACGGAGGAGCACGAAGGUGGGCUAAUCACGGUUGGACAUCGUGAGGUUAGUGCAAUGGCAUAAGCCCGCUUAACUGCGAGAAUGACGGUUCGAGCAGGUGCGAAAGCAGGUCAUAGUGAUCCGGUGGUUCUGUAUGGAAGGGCCAUCGCUCAACGGAUAAAAGGUACUCCGGGGAUAACAGGCUGAUA